GUAGCAGGACGGUCGUGUCGCUUGCCGAGGGGGCAUUUUGCCCUGAGCGGCAAGAGGAAAGUCCGGGCAACACAGAGCACCAUACUCUUUAACUGAGAGCUGUCGGUGACGGCAGAGUAACGUGACAGAGAAUGACAGCCUCUGAUCCAUUAUGGUAUCAUGAGGUGAUGGUGAAAAGGCGAGGUAAGAGCUCACCGGAUGCUAUGGCGACAUAGCAUGCCGCACGUCUUAUGGGUUGCAAGGCCAUGUAUACCGGCAAGCGGACUCCUUUCAUAUUGGAGCUGCAAUGGGUUGCUCGCCCAUCGCCGGGGGGUAGGCUGCUCGAGUGCCGAAGCGAAGCCAGGCACCAAUUAGAUAAAUGACUGCGACCGCCGCGGUAACCUGUCAGCAUAACGCUUGACGAGAAGUCCCGCGACGACAUAACCCGGCUUAUAGUCCUGCUGCCUUU
rnacentral:RNase_P_RNA from 1 species